UUCUUUUCAACGUCCAAAUCAUCUUCCUGAAGACACCUUCCUCUGUUGGCAUGGCAUCUUUCGACUGUCAUCAGGCCGAUUCAUAGAUAGCUUGUAGCUAUUGUUCGCCGCUUCCGUUUAAGCCACUUGACAUGCCUGCAACUAAUCUGUAGAAGGCAUUGAAUUUUUGAGAGAAGGAAAUAUUUAGAAAGACAUUUUUUUUAAACACAGUGUAUACUAAAUAUAUUAUGCUUUCAGUCGUAAGCGCCAGCCAAAACUGCCAAAUUACAUUCAGCCUUCUGUUCUAUUUGUUUAAUCUCAACUUACAAGUAACCACUCCUAAUAAAAUAAGAGAUUGUUGAAUUAGUUCAACUUCAAAUAAAGAAUUACAUCAUUGACAAUGCCGACAUCUGGAGCAUAUUCAAAGCACUUUACCGAUCCGAGAUGUAUUAUAGUUGUUACUUUUGUACUGACAUAUAAAACACCAGCUUUUCUAAUACAGGCUCAUUCAUUCAAAAAGCAGGAUCUUAUCCAAUCAUUCCCUGUUCCAACAGACAAUGGCUUCUUUCUCAAUAGAAGAUUUUGUUGGUGAUGGGGUUCUCAAGGAAUUGAUUCCAAAGUUAUUAGAAGAAGGUUGGGAUGACGUCCCAACUUUAAAGAUCAUGAAUCCAGAGGAUAUGGAUGCAAUCAAUAUGACACAACAUCAAAAGGUUAAAAAUCUUUUCACCUCUCUAAGUAGAGUAAAUUAUCACUAUGUAUUCUUAUUUCUAUGUUCUUCAGGAUGCUCUGGAGAUCAGAACGUACCUUCAUGAUCGAGCUCUGAUGCAAUAUGGAGAUAAGUUAGAGGCCUCCAGGAAAAGCCUACCUGAGCUCCUUAACUUAAGCACCGAGGAUCUGUCUUCGCAAUUUGGCAUGAGAAGGGGCCACAUUGCACGUUUCACAGAUAGAAACAAUAAAUGCACCGAUCCUCUACCCAAAUCUUAUGGCCUCCCUGCAAGGAAACUCACAGUUACACCAUCUAGAAGUAACACCAUUUAUAAGAUGCAAACCAUAAGAAAAUCCUUCUGCAGGAGCAGCACAAACAAUGACAGGUCGCUGGAAGAAUCACUGGCUGAUUUCAAGAUUAAAGAUCGAUACAUAUUUAAAGGGAUUGUUGCUGCAGGACCAGCUGAGCCUCGAGCAUGCGGUUGCAUUCAACCUCCUCCUGUGGUUGACAAUGUGGCACCCUACUCUGCUAUUGAAAACAUAUCAGUUCAGAGAUUAACUCCUGAGUAUAAGAUUGGAAUGGAGCGUUUGGUGAAAACCAAGACUCCACCUAUGAAAGCUUCAGAACUCUGGCGAGAUAAGCCGGCUGUUCUCCUAUGCAUUCGACGGCCAGGGUAAAGUCACUUAUCAUAUCCUACUAUUUCCUUUAACUGAUCCAUAAAAUAAAAGCAAAGAUAUAUUCAGUGAUAAGAACUGAGUGUCUUGCAUAAUCACUCGUUGAUAUGUUUAGAUGAAAGGAACCAUUUAUUUUACUGACAUGGAAACUAUGAUAAAUCUUUUGCCACAUGAUUACAGGUGCAUUAUGUGCAGAGCUGAAGCUCACCAGCUCUAUGCCAAAAAGCCAAUAUUUGAUGCACUGGGAAUUCAAAUGUUUGCAGUUCUUCAUGAACAUAUAGAAUCAGAGGUGCCUGGUAUACUUCAAAAUAUUUCUCCAAUAAACUCCUAUUUCAUUUCCUCAGAUAUCAAAUCUUGAUGCAGAUAAAAGACUUUUGGCCACGUUAUUGGGGUGGGGUUGUGGUCUUCGACCGGACUACGGGAUUCUUCAAAGCUCUUGGAGGUGGGAAAUUACUUAAAGACAAGUUUCUAUCAGGAUUUGUGUUCAACCCCAGGGCUAUUGCAAAUUAUAAACGUGCAAAAUCUAUGGGAAUAGAACAAAAUUUCAAAGGAGAAGGUGAAAUUAAGGGUGGCCUUUUUGUAGUUGGUCCAGGAGGAACUGGAAUAGCUUACCAGUUUAUAGAGAGGAAUUUUGGAGAUUGGGCUCCUGUAGCUGAAGUUGUAGAGAUAUGUGCUCGAUUAAAAGUAAUUGCUAGGAACUCUCUUAAUUCCAAAUCAUGGUAUCACUAAUUAUCAUCCAAUUAACGCAAACCAACUUUUGUUUCUACAAAAUGGUGCAGAAUCAACAGCAAGAUGAAGGAGAUUCUAGCAGAUCACCGCAAGAACACAAGUGAAGUGGUUCCUCAUAGUUCAAACUUUCUAUCGUUGUUGGAAUAAACAAAGUGCAUGCAAUGUUCUCGGUCUUUAACAUUGCUCAACGGCUUGUAUUAUGAAAUGGAGAAUACCACUACGGAUUGGAUUGACAUUCUCUUUUUGAAUAAAAUGCAAUUCGAUGAUUCAUAAUAACAUAAAAUUUGAGAGAAACAAUAAUUAUGUACCUUCUCAAAGGUGUUGGAUUUUUGAAGAAGGAGAGGUUGAAACCGAAGCAAAAGAUGAAAA
rnacentral:lncRNA from 1 species